UGACUGGUUGGGAUGCAGGUUUAGAUUCGCCAUGUUCUCGUGGGUCGGCAUGAAGGGCAUCUGCAGGUCGGCGCUGAUCUUCAGCGACCAGUUGA
rnacentral:tRNA from 1 species